AUAGAGGGCAAGCGGUGGCGUGGCACGCGCCUGGUGUCGGGCUCUGUAGAUUUCUUGUGAAGAGGAAGAGAAAGUGUGAACCGGAGAUAGAGGCGGCAACUGUGUCUGACCUUGCCCUGUUUCACACACACACACACAUUGGGCACACGCCGUGUGUCCCUGUGGCGACUGCAAUCCUUUUCCGGCCGUAGAGGCUUUGGAACGGCGACUGGGCCGUUUCGUUUUCGCCUGUUUGUUUGUGUGUGUGUGUGUGCACCGUCGCCUACACCUUUUCUUCUCUCUCGUCCUUUCGCUCAUCAUCAAGCGACUCCGCGCGCCGGCUCACCCCACCCCCUCCCACCCAAAAUGCAGCGAGAGGUGAUCAAGUGGGUGCAGUCCCUCGACCUUUCUGCGCCCAUACAGAACCCAAAGCGUGACUUGGCCACCGGCCACCUUGCGGCAGAGAUCGUGGCGCGUUAUAGCGGCACCAAGUUCUUGGACCUCCAGCGACUUCCCAUGGGCGUCGCGGGGGCCACGAAGCGGGAUGUAUGGUCACAGGUGUACCGUGCGCUGCAGCAACUCAGCUGCACCACUGUAACUCGACCGCUGAUUGAUGCAGUGCUGCGCCGGGAACCGAACGCGGCUCUCACGGUACUCGAAUACCUCUACGAGCACUUCACCGGCCACGCGCUGCUGAUGCACGGCCUAGACGCCGUGGGGACAAGCAAGGACGCGUACGUGCAGCCGCGAAACGCCACCUCCACCGAGAGGUUGCUGAAAGUGACGAGUGGGAAGCCGAACAACGAUUUCAGCAGCGGCGUUGAGGAGGCAACCCUCACUGCAAAAAGGAAGCUCUUCGACCCUGUCACGCGUGCGUCACAGCUGACCAGCGCGGCCCGCAGUAGCUCAACGGCGGAUGUGAGGUACUCAGGGCAAGACACUGCGGCAGACUGGUCCGACGGCGGUGGGGAUGCCUCUGGCAAUAACUCGACACGUGCUCUGCAGCACCGACUGGCCCUCAUCGACAACAGCGAGCUCGCCGGCGGGGCGAAUGCGCUGCAGGCGUACCCGCGCUACGCUCGACCCACGGCCAGCAGUCUUGUCCACACCGCCAGCGGCAGCCGAAAGGACGUCGUGCUGGACAAGCCAAAGUACACGGCGGACGAGGUUCUUCAGCAGCAGCAGAACAAACGCAUUCUUCACCAGCAUGCCGUGGUGCAGCGACUGCAAGAGGAAUCCGACGAAGCGACCGUGGAGGGCCCAUCACGCACGCGAACGGGCACCCCGGCAGCGGAGACCACCGCGUCCUCGUUGCCGGCGUCGCCACUGCGCGAGAAGGCCGCGCUGCACGCAAACAGGGGCGCCGCCGCCGCGGCGCCCCUGACGACCCUGUACCGCGGCCGCUUCUACCGACAGCCCGAUGCACCAAUGGUGACAGGAACGGCCAAGGUGUCCAACGGCCCCCGAAAGGCUAAAAAGGGCAAGCGGGAAGAGGUAGGCGCAAAGGCCCAGCGCGGCGCCGCAGCGGCAUCGUCUAAGGAUCACGCUAUCGAUGCCGACGGCAAGCUGGACCGUCGUGCGGCUGCAGCAUCCGGCGACAUCCUCUCCACUCCCGAGUUCGCUGGCAGUACCAGAGGCGGUGGCAGCACUGACGGAACUCGCGUCGUUCCCGUGCUGCGCGUCAAUGUUCAUUCAGCCUCACUGCAGGCUGCUCUGGCGCUGCGCAGCGAUCACGCAGAGCUGCAAGAGCGGGCCGCGACAUUGUCACUUGAGCACUUCGCCAAGCACAACUACGCCCUGCGCCCAGGCCUUAGCGACAUCCUCGUGGACGUGCUGGCCGCGCACAAGCAGCUGCAGCGGCUCCUCGAUUGCUGUGUCGAGGAUGGCAACAGCGAGGUGCUCGACAACGUCCUGGGUCAUCUGCUUGCUCACCGCGAUGAGUUCCCUCCCGCGUGCAUACGGGCCUGCUGGCAGGCUCUCGUACAACAUGCUGACGGCAUCGUUUCGUUACUCCAGAAGAACCCAGACGAGUAUGGCUAUCUCAUGGAGUCCUUGGCGUUCGCGUUCAGCCGUGAGGCGGCCCAGGUCCCGCUGCUUCACAUAUCACAAACCGUCCCUGUCUCUGACGAGGCGGAUGAUGCCGAGCAAGAGGAAAGGGCUGCCGCAACAACGGGUGGGUCGCCGCUGCUGCCGUUCUUCGGCUCGACGCGACGCAGCAUUGCCUUGUCGAGUGGAAUCGUUGCUGGGGCGGGACACGCAGCUGCUGCAGCCGCGUCGGCCGCUCGACGCUGCUCUCCAUUCCCUGGGACAGGGCCGGCGGCUGAAGGCGACACCGCCAGCCCACGACAUCGACACAGCCUCAGUGAGGCCCUCCUUACGGCGACGCACCGCGCGGCUUCUGUGGCGGCCGGGUCUUUCAACGCAUCUAACGCGGCGUCGUCGUCGUCACGCCAGAGAGCCAUCGUUGACACCUGCGACGGCUUGCCGGUCGCUUGCGCCUUUGGCUUUCUCUACCGCAUCGCGCGCCAGCUCGACGUGCGGACCGCGGCCUACGUACUGGAGCGGUACGUGCUGCGCAGCGCCAAGCCAUUUCUUCUGCGACACGGCACCGUGGCCGUCCGCGAGGCCGUUGCACGCGUCAUGAGUGCAUCCUUUGUGCCGGCGCCGCCCAAAAACGCCGCUGCUGCCGUUGAUGCCGAGAGCAACGGUGAGGCUGUUGCAGCUGCGGCGGUGGACUCUGAGGAGGCCUUUGCCCAGUUCCUCACGGGCCAGCUGGCACGCACCCUGCUGGGGCCCUUCUCGACUGCGUGCAACACUCACCGCGGCGCGGCGUCUACGCCGUUGCGUGACAGCCCUGACGAUAGCGCGGCGAACCACGACACGCACAGCACGCUCCCUCUGCAGCUGAGCCUGCAGCGUGCGUACUGGCUCAUCGUCUUCCACGCUGUUGCAGACUACCCUUGCCCCGCUGAUCAUGGAAUGGCUACGUCUAGCGGCGCUGAUGGACCGCUCGCCGCAUGCGUACGGAACGCUGCGGUGACAUGCUUGUCGUGCACCGAUGCGGACCUCCUGACUAUCGGCGUGGGCCUCACGAUAGAGUACAGCAAGCGAUGGCUUCCCCGCGAUGCGUCGCCGAUCGACGCGGCUGUUGACAACGCAGUGGCGCGCGGGCGCGAUCUACUGUCCCACGUGUUGCCAUCACUCGAUGCCGCAGCGGACCAGCUUGCGACACCGUGGUGGCACACGCGGUCGGCGAACACGUGGGAGUGUCGGUUGAUGGUUCUGCGGCUGUGCAACGCUCUUCUCGCCCACCCGCUCUUCGCCGGUGCAGGGUCACCCAAGGCGAGCGCCGAAAGCCGCAGCGAUGAUGGCAAGGCGGCUUCCUGCAACUGGCGCGCCACCGUCGAUGCCGCCGCUGCGGAAUGCCUUGGGACGUUUGCCAAGGAUUCGUCGUGGCAGCUGCAGUUGGCGCUGGGUGUGGCGGCCAAAUCCAUCGACCAAACCUCGGCGCCCACCCUGACCGAUACGUGGCGCCAACUGCUCUGCAGCAUUCCAGUAGCUUCAUUGCCGAUGCAACUACUACCGUACGACGAAGCACCGGUGCGCCUGCGGCUGCUGCGCCCACUGCGGUCAGCGGCAAGCGUCAGGGAGGCGGCGGAGAGCGAAAGGUCUAAGGGCGCGCAGCCCAGCGCUCGACCGCAGCAGGUGCGGAUGUCGUCAUGCCAGAACGACCGCGCCGCUCCCUUGCAUAGCGCCACCUCAGCCUUCGCCGGGGAGCCUGCGUCGUGGACGUGGACUCCGUCGAGGGAGAACGGGGAUAGCUGGCGCAGUCCAGGCACCAGCACCGCCGCUCCGGCCACCGCUGAGGCGGCGCUGCACUUCGUGUGGGGCCGCGUCCUCUCCGUCUAUGCAGUGGUGCCUCUCAACCAGACGUGGAAUGUGCAGGGUGUGGUAGAUGCGGUGCUACCGCCGCUGGCAGGCAGCGACGCUGCCACUGCCGCGUCGUCACCUCCAGCAGCUCCGGCCAUGGCGCCAGCGCUUCAACUGCUCGUCAUGGCGGCUGCGUUGCUCAGCCCGCCCGCUACCGCAACAACGGCAGUGGCUGCCGCACCGUCGAUGGCCUCGCCGCAUAAGCUGCCGUCCGUGUCACCGGCCGAUGCUGAACCGGUGGACGUCGGUGAGUUAAGUGGCGCCUUCUGGCUCGUGGCGCUCCGUCGUGCCUGGCCGCUGUUUCAGGCUUGCGGCGUGUCGCACGAGCCCAUGACCCAAGGAGCGGAAAUAAACAUCGCCGAGGACGCGGCCUCAUUACUGGGUGGUGUGGCCGUGGACAGGGCCGGCUCUGGCGUGAAUCUGGAGGACUUACGCACCAUCGUACUUUCUCUUUUCCUCCGUUUCGCGGACGACGCCGCCGUCGCCUCGGCGAUGGCUGCAGCGGACGGAGACGGGGGGAAUCUGUGCGGGAGUGCCAUUCGCUGGGCGGAGGCGCUGUGCAGCGACGCGCAUGCUACUUGUGCGCAAUAACGGGAAAAGUGAUCGAGGAAGCGACAAUGGCACGAGGCUAACAUGGUCACUGGAUGGAGACCGAACCAGAGCGCGCGUGCGCGCACAGCAAUCCCGCCUGCUUCUGUACAUGUGUACAUACACGUUAUCGGGGGUGUAGACCCUCGUGAUGAGGCGCCGAGCAGUCGGCUGCUCACUUUUUUUUCGGUUUUUGUUUUUGCCCGAACGCCUCUCGAUGGCCUUCUCUCUGUAUGUGAAACGUACAUGGAGAAAAGGGCGAGAGAAUGCCAGCGGCCGUCGUUGGGUGCGGAUGUACAACUCACGGGCGGAGAGAAGAGCGCUGAUCUCGCCUUCCCCUCCUCUUACGCGUGAUCAUGAUCCUCUGGAAAAGGAAGAUGCGAAAC
rnacentral:misc_RNA from 1 species